UGAUUACCAUCAUAAUAUGUUGUUGUCUCUCCAAAAAGUGAAUCCAAAGGAAGUUAUUGUUGGAUGGUAUUCGACUGGGUUAGGGGUCACUGGAGGAAGUGCAUUGAUCCAUGAAUUCUAUUCUAGAGAAGUUCCCAAUCCCAUUCAUCUAACGGUGGAUACAGGGUUCAGGAAUGGACAUUAAAGCUUAUAUAUCAGUUAAUUUGUCUCUUGGAGACCGUCAGCUUGCUGCACAAUUUCAUGAAAUUCCUGUUGACCUUCGCAUGGUUGAAGCUGAGCGAGUUGGAUUUGACAUCCUUAAGACACCAAUGGUUGACAAAAU
rnacentral:misc_RNA from 1 species